AAAACCGAAAACCUCGAUGAAGAAACCUGAAGAGGGAUUUAACAAACAAGAAAUAAUUGCCCUAGAAAUGGCCAAAUCCUGCAAGGGCCUAGCUAUGGAACUGGUCAAUUGCCUCAGUGAAUCAGACAGUGUAAAGGGGACAACCGGCCAUAUGGAGAAUGUGCCAAGGAGCAGAACCCGAAAAUUUCAAGCGAGUGUGUGGGACUAAGAGAAACGUAUUUCAAUUGCAAGAGAGGCCAGGCAUGUCUUCUUUCUUUACCAUAUUAAUCUUUGGAAUAUGUGGGAUAUCUUCAUUUUAAACGUAAGGGAAGAAUUAUUCAAAUAUGUAACUUCCUUUCUGCAAAAUUAAUGGGGUGUGGUUGUCAUGGCCUAUAUUUUACGACUUCAAUGCAUUUUCUCGAGAUAUUGAUAUUGAACUUAUGCUUGUGUGGACCAUUUUAUACUUGUAAGCAUGAAUGCAACUUGGUUAUGUUUAAUUGCUGAAAGAGAGAAUCUUCUGUGUUAUCUAUUUAUUGAUCAUAAUAUGAAUUGCGUAGUAGUACAGACAUUGAAUUGAGCACUAAUUAAUUGUGUGAGUUUUUUGUUGUUAACAUAAGCCCUGAAUAAAUGUCUUUAUUGUAUUCAUAUUCAAUGUUUAUGGUGUAAUCAGGUAUUGUUGUGUUUUUCCGUCCAAAUCCAAAAAUUGUUAAAAACUGUUAAGAUGCAAAAUGAACUCAUAAUAAAUCAUUAACAAUCUUCAAAAUUCAUAAUAGAAUAAUUUGAAGCGUGUAAGCAAACAAAAGAAAGAUCUAUUAAGUAAUGAAAACGAAAAUAUUAUUUUGUUGGGACAAUGGAUUAUUCCCGAAGCUGGUCUAUGAGAAACAAUAUUUUUAAUGUUAUUGGCUACUCCUAAAAUUAGUCCAUGAGAAUCUUUACACCUUUUUUGGCUUACACCUAAAACAAAGUAAA